AAUCUUUCGCAAUGGGCGAAAGCCUGACGCAGCCAUGCCGCGUGAAUGAUGAAGGUCUCAGGAUUGUAUAAUUCUCUCACCGGGGACGAUAAUGACGUUACCCGGAGAAGAAGCCCCGGCUAACUUCGUGCCAGCAGCCGCGGUAAUACGAAGGGGGCUAGCGUUGCUCGGAAUUACUGGGCGUAUAGGGCGCGUAGGCAGACAUUUAAGUCAGGGAUGAAAUACAAGAGCUCAACUCUGGAACUGCCUUUGAUACAGGGUGUCUUGAGUGUGAGAGAGGUAUGUGGAAGUCAGAGUGUAGAGGUGAAAUUCGUAGAUAUUCGGAAGAACACCAGUGGCGAAGGCGACAUACUGGCUCAUUACUGACGCUGAGGCGCGAAAGCGUGGGGAGCAAACAG
rnacentral:rRNA from 1 species